CAGAUCCCUCACACGAUCGAAGGAGACAGUCUUUCAUCUCGCUGCACGAAACAAAAACGUAGAUGGCUUCAUUUUCAUGGCAGAGAGGCUGGGCAUUAACAGCCAAAAACUUCUGCAGCAAGUAGAUGUUAAUGGCAAUACUGUCUUACAUAUCGCUGCCUCCAUGUCUUGUGGUGCUCCGAAGGGAAGGAUACAAGUAAAAGACUCCUUUGAAUAGA